CCAAGCAUGGACCCUCAGCACUUAGGAGGCAGAGGCAGGAGGAUUUCUAUGGGUUCGAGGACUGACUGGUCUGCUUAAUGAGUACCAGGGCAGUCAGGACUAUGGCGAGAAAGACCCUGUCUCAACAAUACAAGACACACAUAUAUAUGUGUGUGCGUGUGUGUGUGUACAUGUGCGAGCACACACACACAAGCAGCAUUGUUAGUAAUCAUGGAACUUUAAAAAUCAACUUUGCAGCUAGAUUAUCCUAGCACUCUAGAGGCUUUGACCACACCUACUGGACCAUGGUUUUGAGUCUGAGGCUAGGAGAGCUCCGAAAGGAUUUCCAGGCAGGCCUGAGCUACGUAAUGAAAUCCUGUCUCGAAAAGGAAACACUGCUGUAAUAAAUCAGUUAUACGUGUUCUGUCCUACCUUCUAAUGCUUCUUCAUAUAGUCAUCCAUGAUGAUAGCAACAAUGAUAUAAAUAUAUUUUGCUACUCAAAUUUAACUCUCUCUUAUACCUUGAUAAAUAGCCUAUCUUGUGACAUUAGCUUCCCGUGAGUGUUAGCCAUGGCCAAAUAAUUUAUUUGACCAAUUUAUUAUGACCAUGUUCAAAUGAAUCACAUAAUAGAAUAACAUAAACAGUGGUUGAUUUUUAAGAAUUCAUUUUAAUUGUGUGUGUGUGUGUGUGUGUGUGUGUGUGUGUGUUUGGGUGUCUGUAGAGACCAGAAGAAGGUGUCAGAUUCCCUAGAGCUAGAGUUAUAGGUGCUUAUAGUCUGUCAGAAGUAGGUGCUGGCAGCUUGAACUUUGGUCCCUGCAAGAGGAAAAGCCCUUAAACCGUUGAGCCAUUUCUAGCCCAACUACUGUUUAUUUUAAAUACUUGUUUGCAUUAUUCCCUAUUUCCACCGCUCUCCACAGCUCUUAGAGACAGGCAUAGCAUCUUCUAUUUAUUUCUCAGCGGUGGAGUCACCCCCAGUUUAAAUACAUAUAUUCAUACUAACAUCUAUCUUAUUUUCAAAUUUAAUGCAUGAAUUAACCUGUGAUGGUUGUAAUUUGCAUCACAAUAAGAGGAAGAAGUUGAGCAUAUUCUUGUCUACUUCUUUGUUAGUUAAUACUUUAUGAAUCUUCUAUCCAUGUCCCUUUCCCACUAACAUCCAAGUUUUGAUAUUUUUCUGUCCAAUUUUUGUGAGAUUUUAAUGUCAUACUAGCAGGCUUUUGUUGUUGUUGUUUCUUUUAGGAAACUAUCACCCUGGUCCCAUCUGCUUGAGUCCUGGUAAUUGUUCUUGAGAUUUGAGUACAUUUUAUGUUUCUCCUCUUUAGUUCACCCACUGAAAGCCUAGAAAUAUGUAAUUCUACUAACUAUAUGAUGCCUACUCUUUCUUUGGUGGUUUUCUGUUUUUAUUCCUUUUACAACUUAAUAUUAAUAUAACUGGACUUAUUUUGAUAUAAAGCCUACAGAACUUAACUUGAAAUUUCUUUAAAUUUGAGUAAAGUUAAAUUUAAUGUGAGAUUCAGGUUCCCUACAUAGAUAAAAUAAUAAUAAUAAUAAUAAUAAUAAUAAUAAUCCACUUAUAUUUCAGAAUCUUCGAAGAGAAUUCUGGGAAGGUCAACUAUUCGAUGGCUAAGGACACCCCAUUCCUUUACUGUACUUUGUCAGAAAAUUAAGAAUAGAAGGAACAUCUUCAACUUGAUCAAAGUCAUUCAGGAUGUUAAAAUCAUGCUUGAUUUGGGGCCAGAUAAGAAGCAAGGCGGGUGUGUUCCCUUUCAAUACCUCUGCUUAACUUAGCACUGAAAUUCCUAACAAGCACAGUACAGAGAAAAAGCAAAGACCCUGAGGCAAGAAGAUAACUGGUUUUUGGCAGAUAGCACACUCAUGCAUGUGGGAACCUGAGCAGUAUACCAAAACCAUGGGACCAGUCAGGGAAUUUCACCAAACAGUUAAUAUAUAAAUCUCAGUUGUGCUACACAGUCAAACAAUAAACAAUAAAAAGGGAAACUUUAAAACUACCAUUUUCACAGGACCAAGCACCUAAGAAUAAAUCCGGCACUUACUCUGGAUGGAAUGUAAUAUGGUUGCAUAUCACGGAGGGCAUUGUGAAGUCUCAGAAACUUACCGAUGUCUUUCUUCCACACUGACCUGCUGAUUCCAUGCAAUCCCAGUCAAAAGCUCAGCAAGUGUUUCCGAAGAAAUUAUAUUUGCAAAUGUCAUGCAAAACCAAAGGAGACAGAUUACACAAAACCAUCUGAAGGGCAGACAGCUGAAAGAGUUAUACUGUCUGAUUUCAAGACUUUGAAUGAAACUACAAUAAUCCAAACUGUGUGGUAUUGUCUGAAGAAGCAGGUUAGUCGGAGGAACAUUAGGUUUUGCAUGAAAUCGGAGCCGGAAUUAUUUGAGAUUUGGUGGCACACACACUUAAUCCUAGCACUCGGGAGGCAGGUGGAUCUCUGUGUCUACAGAUUGGGUCCAGGAUAGCCAGGGCUACACAGAGAAACCCUGUCUCGAAAAAUUAAAAGAAAGAAAGAGGCAAGCAAAACAGAAAUUUUAGAAAAAGAUCCUUUUGUACGUGUUUGGCUGAUUUUGAUAAAGGUCCUUUGAUAAAAGGUGACAGCUUUUUGUAAAUUUGACAUAAACCUAGACACAUACCUGAGAAGAGAGAAUGUCCACGGGGAAGCUGUCUCCCUCAGAUUGGUCUUGUGGGCAUGUCUGUGGGGGCAUUUUCUUGACUGCUGAUUAAGGUGAGUGGGCCCAGCCCACUGUGGGAGGUGCCAUCCCUGGGCAGGGGGGCCUGGACUAUGUAAGAUGUGCAGUUGAGCAAGCCAGGAAAGGAAGCCUGUAUCAUCCCUCCAUGAUCCCUGCUUCAGUUUGUGCCUCGGCUUCCCCUGAUGAUGGAUUGUAACCUGUCAGCCAAAUAAACCUCUUCCUCCACAA